GAUGAACGCUGGCGGCGUGCCUAAUACAUGCAAGUCGAGCGAACAGACGAGGAGCUUGCUCCUCUGACGUUAGCGGCGGACGGGUGAGUAGCACGUGGAUAACCUACCUAUAAGACUGGGAUAACUUCGGGAAACCGGAGCUAAUACCGGAUAACAUGUUGAACCGCAUGGUUCAACAGUGAAAGACGGUCUUGCUGUCACUUAUAGAUGGAUCCGCGCCGCAUUAGCUAGUUGGUAAGGUAACGGCUUACCAAGGCAACGAUGCGUAGCCGACCUGAGAGGGUGAUCGGCCACACUGGAACUGAGACACGGUCCAGACUCCUACGGGAGGCAGCAGUAGGGAAUCUUCCGCAAUGGGCGAAAGCCUGACGGAGCAACGCCGCGUGAGUGAUGAAGGUCUUCGGAUCGUAAAACUCUGUUAUUAGGGAAGAACAAAUGUGUAAGUAACUAUGCACGUCUUGACGGUACCUAAUCAGAAAGCCACGGCUAACUACGUG
rnacentral:rRNA from 1 species